AGUUUCUGCGAGUAUCCCCCCCCCCCCAAGCAGUGCCCUCGCAGGCGUGCGCUGCUCGUACGUUUAAUUCGUUUGUAUUUUUAAAGUUUAUCAAUGGAUUCAUUUGGUUGUAAGAGGCUUCUGUUUCCACUUAUAUAGUCCCGGGAAAGAAAAGGAACGGCAUCCUUGCGCCGUUUGUUAACACAAAAAGACGUUUUGAAUCUUAUUAUGAGGAACAUACGGAAUCAUUGGCGAAGUUGUGCUCACUUGAGAUCUUGCCAGAGUAUUGGUAAUCGCAGUGCACAUAACCAGUGGUGACGUGAAAAAUGGGAAAAGCUAGAUUUAUCUUCAGAGGACCUUUAAAGUUGACAGCGUUAAUUGUAUUUUGUUUGAUCGGCCUUCGGACUCUGAUUAAAUUUCUCGACCAAGAUUAUGAGAAAAAUGACAUAUGGGACCUGUACAUGGUGAAAGGUGAAAAAAAUAAGAGUGCCCAAAAAUAUGCUGAAAAGGUAUUGGAACAAAAAUGUCGGCAGUCUUUUGUUCAGGAGCAGAUGGCUCGACUGUUUCCACAAAAAUAUGACCGUGACCUGUUUCCUUUUCUGGAAAGAAGUUCCAUUCUCCGUGAUGCUGUGUUCAAGUACAACACUCCCUUUGGAUUUAAGAAGCACCAAAAUACCUUUAAUCACCUCAUUGAUCUAAUGCCCAUGGUAUCAUUACCAGAAGAACUAGAACAAAAUCCAUGCAAGAGAUGUAUUGUUUUAGGAAGCGGAGGAAUACUACGGGGAUUAGGUCUUGGACGCUACUUGGAUAGAUUUGAUGUUGUUAUCAGGCUGAACAAUGCACCAAUCCAAGGAUUUGCCCAUGAUGUUGGCAAUAAGACAACUAUCCGAAUGAGCUACCCAGAGGGAGCACCAAAAUCUCCUUUAGAGUAUGAUCCGUAUAUGCUAUUUGUUGCUGUAAUGUAUAAGGGAGUAGAUUUCAGCUGGCUGAAAGCUAUGAUCAAAAAAGAACAAGUGUCAUUUUGGGAAAAUUUCUGGUUCUGGAAAGAAGUUGCUAAGAAAAUACCAAUUAAACCAACACAGUUUCGAAUACUGAACCCAGAGAUCAUAAAGGAGACAGCAAUCGAUCUGCUGCAGUUACCUGAACCUCGACCAAAACUGUUUGGAUGGGAUCAGAAUAUUCCUACCUUGGGAGUCAGUGCUGUUGUUCUGGCGACUCAUUUAUGUGACGAAGUCAGCUUGGCAGGAUUUGGAUACAACCUAAGCCAGCCAGAGACGCCUUUGCACUAUUAUGAAAAUGUCCCGAUGACCGCUAUGAAGGCUCAAACUAUGCACAAUGUGAAUAAAGAGAGACAGUUCCUAGAAAGCUUGAUUAAAGAAGGUGUUGUGACAGAUCUCAGUGGAGGGAUUCACUGCAAAUUUUGCAUUUGAAAAAAUCGCAACCUUAAGAUUUACAUGUCUUAACAAGAAGAAACUGCCCUCCAGGAGAAGAUAUUAUUUGAGGCUGGUUAACUUGGCCUUUUAGCUACCAUUAAGAGAGUUUACAAUUUUGACACUCCUGGCAAGUACUUUCACAGAAGUUUCAUCAUUAAUCAAAUUCUGGAAGUGCAACUUUGAGAAAAGUAUUUGUGACAUGCUAACUUGCAUAUUGAACUCGGAGUCGGUAAUGAGUGUCUGUAAUAUUCAUUGCAUUAUUGUGUCCCUGGUUAUUUUAAGUCCAAUUUAAUAUAAAUUAUGAUUGUAAUUUCCCUGUUAUUUAAAUAGGAGUAAUGUUUGAUAUCUCUCAGAACAAGAUCGUUAAGUGUUAAACUUAAUAUCUGGUCUACAGAAAGGCAUCUUGGUGCUUUGUUGCAGCUGGAUGGAGCACAAACUAUUUCUCAUUAAAUUUAAGAUUGUCCAAAUCUUUUGUGUAAUUUAAUAAGAAUGUCCAUUUCUUUGUGGUUUUUACAUUGUAUGUUCCUAAUAUAAAUGUUUUUAAUAAAGAAAAACAA